GAUGAAGAACGCAGCGAAAUGCGAUAAGUAAUGUGAAUUGCAGAAUUCAGUGAAUCAUCGAAUCUUUGAACGCACAUUGCGCCCGCCAGUAUUCUGGCGGGCAUGCCUGUUCGAGCGUCAUUUCAACCAUCAAGCCCCCGGCUUGUGUUGGGGACCUGCGGCUGCCGCAGGCCCUGAAAUGCAGUGGCGGGCUCGCUGUCACUCCGAGCGUAGUAGUUACAUCUCGCUCUGGGCGUGCUGCGGGUUCCGGCCGUUAAAAGCCUUAUUUACCCAAGGUUGACCUCGGAUCAGGUAGGAAGACCCGCUGAACUUAAGCAUAUCAAUAAGCGAGGA
rnacentral:misc_RNA from 1 species